AAAUUACUCGUAAAUCCAUACGCAGUGAAUAGGUGUUGCAUUUAGAGGCAUUUAAACAUCACGGAAUUUAAUGGAAAAACACAGUAGAAUGUACCUAAUUACCUCCCCUCUAUAAGUGCCGCCAUUGGAGGAUACAUUCCACAGAGAAAUGUCUGGAGAAUCUGCAUUGCUCUCCAUGCGUUUCCUAGGUUCCUUAUUGCGGUAGCUUACUUCCGUUUCCACAUGCGAUUUUUAGUGGAGAAAUGGAGGAAGUUGUAUUCGACACUGGCCGGACUGUGCACUCUUCUACACGUGGUGGAGAAUUUUGCGUUAGUUGUGCUCACGUACAUUUCGUCUUUAGAUGACCGAGAAAUUCACGAGAGCAUGUUCGUUUUAUUCAUGGUGACAUCUGAGGUCUACAUGCUGUUAACCUGUUUGUUGUACCGAUGGGGACACACAAUAGGGGGCCGAAAGAUGACUCCAAAUGAAAUACAAUCCUACCACUAUAAACUUGGAAUGUUUGUGUCAAAUUUCAUCAUUUUCAUGAUGGCGGUAUACAUGUAUUUUCGACAUAACUGGUAUUGUGAAAGUGGCGUGUACACUGGUUUCGCUGCUUGUGAAUACCUUGUGGUGUUCACCAACAUUGCUUUUCACUAUACAGCAAGACUAGACUUUCACGAUCAGUACUUGUCUCUAAAAGGUGAAUCUCAUCGGACGUCCAAGACGGCCUAGCGUCUAUUGAAGCAAUGCUUCAUCCAUUCCAAAAUGGUCUGCUUAGAAGGAAGUGAUCUGGUUUCCCGCUAAUAACGACUCACGGGCAACGAAGGGUUUAUAUAUACGUUCGACUGAAAGCAAUAGCUGGUGUGGAUUUCAUCCAAUAUUGUGUGGGAUUUAUUAUAAAAAAAAUAUUAAAAAGGUUUUUAUGUAAAUGCUUCGCUAAUGAAGGGUUUUGAAAAACCUUAUAGUGUGUCACAUGAAUCGAUUUGUGUAAUGCAAAAAGAUAAACAUGUGAAUUUUUCUUUUAUUGCAACUGAAAAAAUAUGACACUAAAUUGAUUUAACACAUUAUGUACAUGCUGUUUAAGAAUACAAUUUUUUUUUACAGAUAACUAUAUGUUUUGAAUGGAAUAAACAGCUAAAUGUAAAGUGCUGAUUGCCUAAAAUUUUAUACAUAUCAUGUAUACUGUGCUCGUUUGUUGAAUACUAGUAUUUCUAUUCC
rnacentral:misc_RNA from 1 species